GACAGAGGUCUCGAGCGUUAGGCGGAAUCACUGGGCUUAAAGCGUGUGUAGGCGGAUGCCUAAGUACCUUGUGAAAUCCCACGGCUCAACCGUGGAAUUGCUUGGUAUACUGGGUGUCUUGAGCCAGCUAGGGGCAACCGGAACAAAUGGUGGAGCGGUGAAAUGCGUAGAUAUCAUUUGGAACGCCAAUGGUGAAAACAGGUUGCUGGGGCUGUGCUGACGCUGAGACACGAAAGCCAGGGGAGCAAACGGG
rnacentral:rRNA from 1 species